rnacentral:lncRNA from 1 species
UAGAAUGUUACACAUAAUUAUAAGUUCUAAAGAUAGCAACAAUUGAUAGUUAAUGUAUCUACAAGGAAAUAAUUCAACUGUUUAAUCAAAAUAAAAUAAAAUAAAAGAGUAAGAAUUAAAUGUUGAUCAAUGCAAUUAGGUCGAGGUCAGGUAAACCUUGGUUGACGGACUAGGAGACGUUGAAAGGAACCCGUAUGGGACACUUUUGAAAAAGAAUCUUGGCACCAUGAAGUAUGGAAUGAUAAAAAUAAUGUCAAUGGUAAUAAAUUAAGAUUUUAUAGAUUGUUUAAAACUUGUAUUGGUACGGAGCCUUAUGUAAAGGUAGUUAAUAAUAGAUGCCACCGACGUAUUUUGUCACUAUUCAGAGCUGGUUCGUUACAACUUAAAGUUGAAACAGGUCGAUAUGCUAGACCACCAGAACCUCUACAAGACCGUUUAUGUAUUUGUUGUGAUAGUUGCCAAAUUGAAGAUGAAAAACACUUUCUUUUUAAUUGUCGUUUUUACUCUGAUAUCAGACAUGAACUAUAUGCCAAAGCCUGUCUUUUAAAUGUGGAUUUUGAGUAUUUAUGCGAUAUUGAAAAACUUCGUUAUCUUAUGUGUAAUGAGAAUAUGGUUCCUCUUUUAGCUAGUUCCCUUUAUCAUAUGUUUUAUCGAAAAAACAUGUCAUCUAGAAAUUAUAUAUGUUUUUUUUUAUUAUUUUUUUUUUAUUUACGAAAUACUUUUUAAAUGUAACAAAGCUGUCCUUUUAUGUAUGUAUUAGAUGUUUGUUUUAAUGAUAGUGUCUCAUAAGUCGUUUUCGGCUGGCAUCCUUUUACUUAAAU